AUUGAUCGAUUAUUGAUGAUUGAUAACCGAUCGGGCCGCGGGCAGGACGACACGUGUCUCAGACUUUUCAUAGUUUUAUUUAUAUUCUGUUGUAGUCUAUAAUUUGAUAUUAUUUAAAGUGCCGAUUCAGUUUACUGCAGCUCGUGUUUUCGAUGAUUGAGACCCGAUCAGUUGCCGUAUCGAUCACAGCUGCUGUGCUGUGAGCAGCAAGCAGCUUCAGUGAAGAAGAAGAAGAAGGCCAAGAAAGUCAGUGAAGAAGAAGUUGGGGAAAUCCAGCAGAGCGGAGACUUCUUCAUCCAACCAGAGUCCAAGGUCGCCUCUCUGGACACGUCACAGUGGCCCCUCCUACUGAAGGUAACACACCUGAGUUCACCUGUUCCACUAACACACACCUGAGGUCACCUGUGACACCUGCGCAGGUGAGGUUCACAGGACUUUAAUAUGUCACUGUAUUCAAAUUGAAACGAUUGGCGGUCAUCAGGACAGGAAGUGAUGUCAUCUUAAACUGCUGGUGAUGGUUUUUGUAAUUAAAUGUUGUUUUUCCAGUAAAAUAUUACUGUGAACGAACACAGGAAGUGAGUCGGUGAAGGUAAACAGACUACGGCUAGCUGAGAGGGACAAAAGUCAUUUUAUUCAUGAAGCUCAAUAUCACAAAUAGUUUUUUUCUGAUUUAUUGACUCAAGCAUCAAAAACAAAAAAAACUGAGUGUGUGUUUUAAACAUUACUGAUCCUCAGCGUGUGAAGUGAUGAAUCAGUUUAUCCAUUCUCUGAGCGGCCAUCUUGUCUGGUCAUCACCUCUGCUCCCGUUCUGGGGGCGGGGCCUCUCCGCCGUGGUACCGGCGUUGUACCGGCGUUCUGCCAGACAGCGACCCGAAACUGCACGGAGAGUGAGACUUGACAUGACCGCUGCCGAGACGAGUUCCUGCUCUGAUCACAUGAUGCUGAGAUUUA